rnacentral:lncRNA from 1 species
AAUCAAUCCCAUGCAAGGUCCAUUGAUGCAUGCGUCUGAUCUGAUGCAGCAGUACGUCCCCUCACCGCGCGCGCAAUCGUGAACUAACUCGGCCGAUUCGAUCGAUGAGUACAAGUACAGACGGCAGGGUCGCGGUGGCGAAUUAUAGGCCGAGCGCGCCGAGCGGCGUCUUGCCCUGUCCGGCCUCGAAGUAGAAGGUGAGCAUGGCGAGCAUGGCGAUGCGGGCGUGCUUGAUCUCGGCCAGCUUGAGCCGCUCGAGCUUCUCGGUGUCGGGGAUGUAGACGCCGUCCUUGACGGUGCCGGCGAGGCCGAGCGGGUCGAAGAACUUGCCGCCGGGGUAUCCCUGGUCGCCGGUGAAGUUGGCGAAGUUCUCGGCGGUGCGGGACCAUGGGGUGGCCCACUCGACGGACUGCGAGUCCGGGUUGAAAAAGUCGACCCACCGCUUGGAUUCGACCCACCCCAUGAGCAGCAGCUGCGUGCCGAGGAGGGAGCCGAAGGAGAAGGGUGCGAUGGCGCCCGGGUCGGCGCCGGCCUCGAACCAGGGGAUGCCGCUCCACGCCUGGCCGACGAAGAUGCCCAGCACGGCGGCCAUCGCCCACCGCCCGUGGAUCAGCUCCGCCUCGCGGUACCACUUGAGGAACGCCGGGUCCUUGCCCAGGCCCAGUGGGUCGAAGCCGAAGUCACCGGGGAGUCUGGCAUAUGAGGAAAACCGGCGUCAGUUCCGGUUCCAG